rnacentral:rRNA from 1 species
AGCUCCAAUAGCGUAUAUUAAAGUUGCUGCAGUUAAAAAGCUCGUAGUUGGAUUUGUGGCGCGGUCGUCCGGCGGGGCUUCCGGUUUCAUAGUAUCCCGGGGCCGUUUGUCUGGGUUCUUGGCCGCCCCAUUCUUCGGUUGCGUGUCGCUGGCAUUAGGUUGUCGGCUUCUUCGCGCCGAUCGUUUACUGUGAAAAAAUUAGAGUGUUCAAGGCAGGCUCGUUUAGGCUUGAAUACAUGAGCAUGGAAUAAUGGAAUAUGACUUGGGUCACUAUUUCGUUGGUUCUAUUGACCGAAGUAAUGAUUAAGAGGGACAGUUGGGGGCAUCCGUAUUUCGUAGUCAGAGGUGAAAUUCUUGGAUCUGCGAAAGACGAACUAGUGCGAAAGCAUUUGCCAAGAGU